UACGAAGGGGGCUGGCGUUGUUCGGAAUCACUGGGCGUAAAGCGCACGUAGGCGGAUUGUUAAGUCAGGGGUGAAAUGCCAAGGCUCAACCUUGGAACUGCCUUUGAUACUGGCAAUCUCGAGUCCGGGAGAGGUGAGUGGAACUGCGAGUGUAGAGGUGAAAUUCGUAGAUAUUCGCAAGAACACCAGUGGCGAAGGCGGCUCACUGGCCCGGUACUGACGCUGAGGUGCGAAAGCGUGGGGAGCAAACAGG
rnacentral:rRNA from 1 species